CUUGUGUGUCCUGCAGCCUGAGCGAGAGCAGGGGACAGAACCUCAUGUAAAGCCAGGGCUGGAGGAGGAUGGCACGCAGCGCACCCACGCCCUCCUUGGCAGCCAGGGCUGAGUGCCUGCUAUCCUCUAGAGGGUGCUGCGGGCUCAGCCAGCCUGAAUCCCGGCUCUGACACAGGUGAGCGAUGCUGACUGUCAGCAGCUGUGAGCUGGAGUGGGUCCCACCGCCUGCGGGUCCUGCAGCCACAGCAGUGCAGGAGGAAGAGGAGGAGGAAGGUGCCCUCGGCUCCAUCACCUGUCAGCAUCCUUCUCCAUGCUCCUGUCUUGUCACCCAUCCUCUCCCCAGCACUUGCAGGCCGUAUCUGUGUGACAUCAAUUGUGCUGGGAGCAGCGCUUUCAUAGACUGCCACAUCUCCGUGCAGGCAUGAGGAAGUAAACAUAUCUGAGAGAACCUCCACAUAAAGCACCAGCAAUUGGCCCAGGCCCUGUCUACCUACUCAGACACCACGUUAAGCACUACUCAGAGGAUCGCUUUAAGUUGCUUCAAGUACCUCCAGUUGUUUUCUGACUGGCUUCUGCUUUGGUCAUUGACUGUGAGUGGGAAGCAAAACAGCAUUCAGCACGCUUGCAAAAAGGCAGAAUCACUUGGUGCUGAAGCUCUACCUCCAUGGGGAAGGCAUCAAUCAAUAAAAAAAGAAAUGAAAAUCCAGAAAAAUAAGUAUGCCAAGAAGGAUUUGGACCCACAUUGCCUCUGGCCUGCAGGUGCCAAGGCUCUGAGCACCCUGCACACAUGGGACCUUUGCUAUGAACAACUUUGCUGAGUGCUCUGUGCAUCUCCAGCCUUGUAACCCCCCUUGCUAAGGAGAUAUAAGAACCCUACCCACACCUCAGGACAGAUUAACAUUAAGGAGAAAAAAAACCAACAGCCCUCACUGAUCCUGAAAUGUGUCUUAAUUAACUCCCAGCAAUUUGCAUCUGACAAAAGAUAGAGCCAGUUUCUCUUGUUCGACUGAUCUGUGUUUAAUGCCAGAUGGGGGUGGCUUCAGGUCAGGUGUUUCCCAGGCCUGGGGCUGUCUUUGGUCUGUGAGACGAGCCAAGAUAGAAGAGGGAAAGUGAGUCUAAAUGCUGUUUGUCUCGGGGUAGCUCAGAUCCAGAUUGAUCAGCAGAAAACAAACCAAAACAAAAAAAGUACAUAUCAGGAGGCUAAAUAGUUUUGAUAAAAGGAAUUUGGAGAGAAAGCAGCCUCCAUGGAGAGGGUAGCAAAGGCAGCACUCAGGAGCAGAGCAGUUUGUGCUGUAUUGAAUGGGCUCUAAAGCAUUCCCUCCUGAAUCAGGGGAUGUGGCUCUCUUGCUGCGUAUGGAUGCUAUCCUUGAGAUCUUGGUAACAAAGGGAUAAAUCAGUAUUCCUCUGUGGGGCUACAGGAACUGGGUUGUUAGGAGCAAGGCAUUUGGUUUGCAGCAAACAAUGCAAAAAUAGGAUUUUGAUUGCUUCCUAAACACACACAACUGGCACAUUUUAAAUGACUAUAAAAGAUAUGACAGGAGGGCUCCCUUGGACGUUUAUUUCUUCACAGAAGAGGUGGGAAUUAAAGUGGUUAAAUGACAAAAUAAAGGAUCCAAAACACGGAGCACCUGAAGAUCUUGCUAAUCAGA